rnacentral:rRNA from 1 species
GACGAACGCUGGCGGCGUGCUUAACACAUGCAAGUCGAACGGAAAGGCCCUGCUUUUGUGGGGUGCUCGAGUGGCGAACGGGUGAGUAACACGUGAGUAACCUGCCCUUGACUUUGGGAUAACUUCAGGAAACUGGGGCUAAUACCGGAUAGGAGCUCCUGCUGCAUGGUGGGGGUUGGAAAGUUUCGGCGGUUGGGGAUGGACUCGCGGCUUAUCAGCUUGUUGGUGGGGUAGUGGCUUACCAAGGCUUUGACGGGUAGCCGGCCUGAGAGGGUGACCGGCCACAAUGGGACUGAGAUACGGCCCAGACUCCUACGGGAGGCAGCAGUGGGGAAUAUUGCACAAUGGGCGGAAGCCUGAUGAAGCAACGCCGCGUGCGGGAUGACGGCCUUCGGGUUGUAAACCGCUUUCGCCUGUGACGAAGCGUGAGUGACGGUAAUGGGUAAAGAAGCACCGGCUAACUACGUG